CGUAUGUGCCAGCUCCACUGUGCUAAUAAAAAUAAGGUAAAAGGAGGAGGGUAAGGAGUCUAAAGAACAGCAGCGCUUUCAUUUUGCAAAGGCAAGCCGGUGGCAAUCACUGGUGCUGAUUUAUUCAGAACUGGGGACUAAGGAGGGAAGCAAACCAGAAGCUGGGCUCCCUUUUGCAGACUCGGUUCCCCAAUCGCCUUUGCACUGCAAGGUCCUCCUGCCACGUGCCGUGCCCUUUCAUCAGAAGUCUGUGUGUGUGUCAAAUGAGUAACACCAGUGCUUUACAAGAAUAACCUCCAAGCGACGCAACCGCAGCUUCAUCUUAAAGAAACAAAGUGAGAAAACGGGAAAAUGAGCCCAGUGCAGCCUGGAUUUAUGCACUGCUAAGAUCUGUGGGUCUUCCAGCACAUGGGCUUGGGCGUCACCAGAGCUCUAGCACUCAUAGCAGGAGGGAUCCACCCAGACCAGGUCAGCCGGAGUCAUUUGGAAGGGAAAGCACCGCUGUAAAAGUAAAUAGAGUGAGUCAUGUUGCCUUUUGGCAUAAACGCAAAGCACGUAGGAGCAGGAAGCGUCUUUGUUUUUGUGCACAGGAGGGUGCUUUCAGGUCAGGUUAUCUCUAAGGUGCAUUUCUGGCCAGCAAUGUAACAGUAACAGCUCGCUCUGGCAGUGAGACCAUCCUACCUGGAACGGGGGGACAAUUUCAUGCAGCUCAAUAUCAGGUAUCUGCAUUUUUUUUUUUAAUUUAAAUUUAACACUGUAUUUAACAGCAGUGAAUCUUAAACCAGAGUCCUGACCACAAAGACGCCAGAUGCGUUGUGUGCAUGGUCUCUAAUUCUGACCAUAAAAACCUCGCCACAGCUCUCGGGGACUGGUGAGCUCUGCACAGGCUGGGGAAAAUAUUUGUGAGCUGCCUGAAUUGCCCCACCGGGACUCCGAGCCAAAGCACCAGUGUCUGCAGCAACACCAGUUUUCUUUGAGAACAAAGCAUAGUUUUCUUUUGUGUGUACGUGGUUAAGUACUGCUGAACAAGUAAACAUUGAGUGGGAAUCAGUCAUAACAGAAAUAAUUUUUUUUCUUUUAUUUUUUAAUAUUAGGGUGACUUGCUUCAGAAAACGGGCCUGUUUAUUGCUUGGCAAUGCCUGUGACUGCUGUCCGAAACUUGAAAAUUACAGUGGUAUCCACAGUGGGCGCAGAUUACUAUUGCAUUAACAGCCAGGGAUGAUUGCAUGUUUAAAAUUUAGCAUAAGAAAGAAGUGUCUGAAAACUGGCCGUUUGCCUAGUGCCAGAAUUACUUAUACAUUCAGUUUUCUGUACGGUCCAGGCUAAAAACCAUCCUAAUUGUCCGUUCUCCUUCAAUUAUACAAACAGUCUGCCAUUAGUCUCUUCUUCCCAUGAUUCGUGUUUUGGGCUCAGCUUGUCCUGCCUGGCAAAUGGGAGAACUGGAGAGAAAUGAGGAGAGAGAUGAAGAGAAGACUCUGAAGGAUGCAGCUGUCUUUGUCUGCAGGUCCCACCUCACUGCGACUUUUCACAUAUAGACCUUCAGCUGCUCUGUUCCAGCUGUGAGCUGCUCACUGCUUCACCAAGAAACUGGAGAUGAAUUUGCUGUUGUGUUAUAAAUGGUCCACAUAUAAAGUGAUCGCCAGCAUAUAGAUCGACUUCAAAAUGUAGGGAAGGAAAGUAAGACAGAUGUGUGAAAAUGAGGGAGGUGUAGGCUUGUAUGGGCAAAUUCUGCCUUAAAGGGCUCCAAUUAACUUACUUCACAUGCUUUGAAUGAAACUAUCUUUCUGUGGAUCUGUUUUGUAACAAGCAUUUUAAAAGUCGAGCAAUGAAAAAUGCCUAGGAGGGAUCAUACCUACACACUGGAGCUCUGCUCUAGUAGUUAUUACUAAGACUUCUGAAAAUGCGUAACUUGAUGCAUGUGUGCUAGUUCGGUUUUUAGAAGCUUUUCUAAAGAAAGAACACCACAUCUGAAUGAAUCUUCCAUUUUUCGGUUUGUUUCUCGCUAGCAUCUGUUUAAAUCCCCUAUCUCCAUAAAACACAGUGGAAAAAUUAAGUACGUGUAUACAUUUUAACAUGUUGGUAGAAAUAUAGCCGUUGAAGUUUAAAAAGUUAAUUAACAUUUAAAUUACUCUGUUUAAAAAAAAAUAAAUAAACAGGACUAGUUGAACAGGUUUAAUGAGAGAAGAAGUCAGUUUAAUUGAGAGUAGAUAUGCAGCAACACCAGCUCCGAGAUCCAAGGUAUGUGAGCUCAUCUUUGAGAGAUUCAUCAAGCUGAUUUCUUCAUUUAUUGCUUCUGGUUUGGGCCUGCAUGUCUCAGUAAUUAACUUUUUUUUCCCAUAGAACAAGAAGACGAGAAGUGUGAGGAUAGCAGUAGCACCACAAACAAGAGACUAAAUAUGAGUGCCAUCUUAAAUAAAACCAUUUAUUCGGUGUCUGGUAUUUACCAUCUAUUCGACGUAUCUCUGCCCAAAUUUAACCAAACUAUUUUCCUUAAAUAUUCCCCCCAGAAGUACAAUGCUCUCCCUUUUAAUGAACCUCUAACAUGAUUUUGAACACUGGCCUUGAGUGCAGUGUUCCCCCUGGAUGCAGGCCUUCUGCAGCCUGGCUGCUGAUCCGUGCCCGGCUGAGCACCCACAGCUCCACUGCUCAGUCACCCCGGACCAGCAGCGUGUGGCCCUCUCCAGCGUGUGCCGCAGAGCCUGCGCAACCUGAGUUUCAGCUGCCACAGGGAGUUGUGCAUUCUGCCAGCCUUGGGCACAAAAAUCAUCAACUGGUUGCAAAAGUAAGGCUGGAGAGCUGACGUUUUUGUUUACUCUUUAUACAUAUAUAUGUAUGUGUAUACAUGUGUACUUUUUUGGGUUACCCCUUCAAAGCCUUUGGGUUCUGUCUGUUUUGCAUUUGCCAAGAGUUGUCUGUUUAAUUUUUUGCUUUUUUUUUCCACAGGUAUGAGUGGUUUCGUGAUUUUCACACAGAAUCACAGAAUGUCAGGGACUGGAAAGGACCUGGAAAGAUCAUCCAGUCCAAUCCCCCUGCCAGAGCAGGAACACCCAGAUGAGGUUACACAGGAAGGUGUCCAUGUGGGUUUUCAAUGUCUCCAGAGUAGGAGACUCCACAACCCCCCUGGGCAGCCUGUUCCAGUGCUCUGGCACCCUCACUGUAAAGAAGUUUCUUCUCAUAUUUAAGUGGAACCUCCUGUGUUCCAGUUUGUACCCAUUACCCCUUGUCCUAUCACUAGAUGUCACCAAGAAGAGCCUGGCUCCAUCCUCCUGACACUCACCCUUUACAUAUUUAUAAACAUUAAUGAGGUCACCCCUCAGUCUCCUCCAAACUAAAGAGCCCCAGCUCCCUCAGCCUUUCCUCAUAAGGGAGAUGCUCCACUCCCUUCAUCAUCUUUGUUGCCCUGUGCAGGACUCUCUCCAGCAGUUCCCUGUCCUUAUUGAACUGAGAGGCCCAAAACUGGACACAAUAUUCCAGAUGUGGUCUCACCAGGGCAUUUUGGGAUGUAAGACUGUUAACGUGCUGUAUGUGGGAACCAAGGCCAAGCCUCUCUCUCACCCCGGGCAGGCUGUCACACAGGAACCAGGGGAAGGGACACUCUGUCCCUCCCAUCCUGGGAGAUCCCAGAUGGCUGCAGCAUUGGCUGAAGUCACUUGCUGCUCCGUAACCUCUUUCUAAGGAGUAAAGACCAGCUCAAAAGCCGUAAGCCUUCUGUGAAACUGCUCAUGAGUCGGGGGUGCCGGGGAGGCUUUUCUUUGUAUUUUAAAGUAACAGAGUUUUAUAUCUUUCUCCAGAACCAAAACCACUUUCUGUUCAAACACUUAGAAUGCGCUUACCUCUGACCUGUCUUACACAUAUUUGGAAAUACUGUAGUCUGUAUUUUCUAUAAGCCUUCAGAAAAUUGACUGUUUCAAGGUCUUACUGCUGGAGUAAUUUAACACCCAUGCUGCAAAAAUAGGAAGGUAAGUGGCCCAGCAGAAGAUAGAGCAGCCAAAACUCUUAUCUCAAUACCCAUUACUUGGAGAAUUGCAGCAACUUCCCUUCGUCAAUAAUGAGCCUUAUUUAUAAAUUCACACACAAUACAGAAAGGAAGCUUCUUGCACUGUUGUGGAGAUCAAAGCUGCAAUGUGUUUUUUUCUCCUUCUCCUGUUUAGAGAACUGCAGUCAGUUUGCAUGUAUCCGUAUCCCUCUCCUUAUUGCUGAGCACAGCACUGUUGAUAGCCUUUGGCAUUUUUUUAAAGCUGUUUCUAAAGAUAAACACUUGGCAAAAAUUCCCAGAAUGCAAGUGCCCAAGCUCUACUGUUUGUUAGUAGCUGCUCCUUUUAGGGGGUUUCAAGUUCCAAUUUGAUGUAUCAUAAAUUAAUAUACAAUGAGAGACUGUGCUCAAGGGUGGAACCCCUGCCUUACUGAGAUCCAUGCAAACAAAACCUCAAUUGAUUUAGUCCAAUAAAAUUCGCUGGCUUAUCAUGAAUCUCCCGUUCCUUUUUUAAGAAACACUCCAUCACUGCAAAAAUAUGAAUAAAAUGGCAUACACUCAUCAAAACAACCCCCAAAGUGCCCGAGUGCAUUCAUAUUCUUUCAUCUUCUAAAAGUGGCCCGUCCUCAGUAGUUUUUCAACAGCAGCCUGAGAAGCAGCAAGACAUGUUUUUGUCAAUGAGCAGAAUUCAGUCUGUCUUUUCUUCCAAGUUGUGAUCUAAAAGAGACAACGUCCACAUUCAUCAUGGUCUGCUCGGCUACAGCAGGUAGCUGCUUGGCUGCCUGUGUUGUGACACCAGCUGGGAUAUUUCUCCUCAUGCAGACAGUGCAAACCCUUCCACUAGACAGGCUAGGAUGCUUUGAUCAUGUAUAAUACGAGAGGGAGAGAGAGAAAGCUCAUAGUGCAUAUGUAUAUACUAUGGUCUAUAGAGUAUAGACUAUAAAAAACCCCACCCUAUGGUGAGUGUUACGGGUGUUCUCUUCCACAGAAGACAAGGGCUAAUCAGGAGAGGAAAGAGAAGCUGGUUACCCCACCCACCUCCGGAGGCUCUACUAAAGCCAUUUAUUAUAACGUUUCUCAACCUUCUGGGGCUGGCAACUUUAUAGGAGAACUGGAUUUUGCAACCUUUUUACAGCACCUAUUAAAAAAAAUAAUGGUAAAAUAACCCCAAAGUAGGAACAAUGCUUGUCUUCAGCACAGAGAUGGCUAGGUGUGGUACAGAGACACGGGAGCUGCCCAGACAGCUAGGCUGUUAGAUCUGGCUGUGGCACUGGAAAAGAUCAACUUUGACCAGAAACGUGCUGAAGAGAAUUUCAGGGACAGGAAUCAGAAGAAGGUGACAGCCAGCCUGGGUGGGACCAGCUCCAGCACCAGAGCCAUCUUCACACUUCUUACCAAAAGGAGAACCAAGGGUUGAAUUUUGAAGGACCUUCAGCUGUUGUAGUGUUCUCAGGUAGAUGUUGUAGUGCUUAAUAUUUAUGGUUAAAAUGAAAGCCUGGGGAAUUAUUUUCAGAGUUUUAUGCUGUAGGAUCAAGAUGCUUUAUGCAUAGAUUGGCAAAUUUCUCUGCUUCCGAGUCUUUCAUACAGACACUGAAAACCCAACCUCCAGCAGUAAGCAGAUAGAGACGGUCUGACUGGAUUUCACAUUCACCCCACUUAAUAAUUGACCUGAGGUGCUCCCAUAAAUAUUUCCAAAAUAACCUCUCAAAUAUACACCAAUUACCAACAGGUUCCCUGGCAGAAUUGCAAUAAACAGAUCCUAAUGGCCCGACAGCUUUCCAAUCCAGGUUUGAUAAAAAAAUCCCAAAGCCAAACAAUUACUCUGAAGGCACGUUUAUUCUCUAAAUGAGAUUACAACUGAAAAACUUCAUAUUUAAGCAUAUUAACUGUAGGCUUCUCUUGCCAGCAGAAUGAAGCAGGCUCAUUCCAAGCAUCACUGUAACUAAUACAUCUAGCAAAAGCAGUUCUUAGUAUUGUAAUUGUAAACUGUGCAAUAGCAAUAAAGAAAAAAUCUUAGAACCAAACACAUUCAUUAUCUGAAGCCAGAAACAAAGCUUGAGUUCUUUCAUAUAGUAAGUGAUCAAAUGUCUUUCAGAUAAAAGCUGUUUGCCUUAACAAAUUUAUUCUGACUGCAUUUAUUUAAGUCUAUGCUUAAACAUGACCCAGUUUGACUGAGAAACUUAAUCUCACUUAGAUGCUGCUUAUUGCAUCAUGUAGUAAAAAUAUCAGGAAUGCAUAAGACAACCUGACCUAUUUUGUUUAAAUAGAGGGAUUUUACAAAAUAAAAACAUAAGAAUUGUUUGGGAAAAUAAAAAAUGUAAAGGCCAAAUUAGGCAGAAUAUAUAGUAAAACACAUUUUUAAAAAGUAAUUGACAUAUGAAGGCCUAUUUCCUGCAUUUGUUUACUUAGAUGAAAAGCUUGCCAUACUCUUAAUUCUAACAUGUCUAGAAACUUUAAAAAUAAUAAUAAACUCAGAAAUUUGUGAGCAAA